rnacentral:rRNA from 1 species
CGAUCUGAUGGCGACCGGCGUACGGGUGAGUAACGCGUAUCCAACCUGCCCUUUACUAUGGGACAACCCGUCGAAAGGCGGAUUAAUACCGUAUGUUGUCAUGUUGAUGCAUAUUUUCAUGACCAAAGGCUUCGGCCGGUAAAGGAUGGGGAUGCGUCUGAUUAGCUUGCCGGCGGGGUAACGGCCCACCGGGGCGACGAUCAGUAGGGGUUCUGAGAGGAAGGUCCCCCACAUUGGAACUGAGACACGGUCCAAACUCCUACGGAAGGCAGCAG